rnacentral:lncRNA from 1 species
GUGAGAACUUAUUCUUUUAGGUACUUUGGUUUAGCAUCUUGAGGAGAUCUUUUCAAUAAGAUAUAUUUUGAAUUUGAACACUUGAGAAGACCUACAUACAAUUUUGAAAUACAUGAUUUGUAUCAUUUAUACUCAAUAUUUUAGAAUCAUCAAAAUCAAUCUUGGGAUCAAUAUACUUGGCUCUAAUACCAAUUAUCGGAGAUCUGGU